AUGGUGGACAAGCUUGUGAUGCUGAAAUAACUAAUCCUCUGUAUGAGAAUGUAACUGCUGCUCAACAUGGCUCUAAUACCUGUAAACCUGAACCGAACUCUUCUGUGUAUGAAAAUAUUCCAACGAAGAAGAUGAAGUAGUGUUUUGGAACCACAGAAAGUUGUACAACUUUUAUAAAUCUCUUUGUGGGUAUAGACCUGGAGAUUUCAUGAUAUGUUUGAAGUAAUUUGAAGAUCAUAUGAGUUCAAAUAGCAGUUAAAAGUUAAUGAAUUGUAAAAGUGUCUAAUCACUUAACCCUCUGGUAUUGUUCAUUUUGGAGUCGCACUUAUGUUGUCCGUGGUCAAAAGUAAACAGACACCCGAAAUGUAACAACAAUUUCUUUUUUUUUUUUCAGUA